rnacentral:rRNA from 1 species
CCAUGGAAAGUCGGAUUAACACCCCAUAGUACUUUUAUCCUGCAUGGGAUGUGAGUUAAAUGUUUAAGGUAUCGGAUGGGCAUGCGUCCUAUUAGUUAGUUGGCGGGGUAACAGCCCACCAAGACGAUGAUAGGUAGGGGUUCUGAGAGGAAGGUCCCCCACAUUGGAACUGAGACACGGUCCAAACUCCUACGGGAGGCAGCAGUGAGGAAUAUUGGUCAAUGGACGAGAGUCUGAACCAGCCAAGUCGCGUGAGGGAAGACUGCCCUAUGGGUUGUAAACCUCUUUUAUAAGGGAAGAAUAAGUUCUACGUGUAGAAUGAUGCCUGUACCUUAUGAAUAAGCAUCGGCUAACUCCGUGCCAGCAGCCGCGGUAAUACGGAGGAUCCGAGCGUUAUCCGGAUUUAUUGGGUUUAAAGGGUGCGUAGGCGGUUUAUUAAGUUAGUGGUUAAAUAUUUGAGCUAAACUCAAUUGUGCCAUUAAUACUGGUAAACUGGAGUACAGACGAGGUAGGCGGAAUAAGUUAAGUAGCGGUGAAAUGCAUAGAUAUAACUUAGAACUCCGAUAGCGAAGGCAGCUUACCAGACUGUAACUGACGCUGAUGCACGAGAGCGUGGGUAGCGAACAGGAUUAGAUACCCUGGUAGUCCACGCCGUAAACGAUGCUCACUGGUUCUGUGCGAUAUAUUGUACGGGAUUAAGCGAAAGUAUUAAGUGAGCCACCUGGGGAGUACGUCGGCAACGGUGAAACUCAAAGGAAUUGACGGGGGCCCGCACAAGCGGAGGAACAUGUGGUUUAAUUCGAUGAUACGCGAGGAACCUUACCUGGGUUUAAAUGGGAAAUGUCGUAUUUGGAAACAGAUAUUCUCUUCGGAGCGUUUUUCAAGGUGCUGCAUGGUUGUCGUCAGCUCGUGCCGUGAGGUGUCGGGUUAAGUCCCAUAACGAGCGCAACCCUUACCGUUAGUUGCUAGCAUGUAAUGAUGAGCACUCUAACGGGACUGCCACCGUAAGGUGAGAGGAAGGCGGGGAUGACGUCAAAUCAGCACGGCCCUUACACCCAGGGCUACACACGUGUUACAAUGGCCGGUACAGAGGGCCGCUACCAGGUGACUGGAUGCCAAUCUCAAAAGCCGGUCGUAGUUCGGAUUGGAGUCUGUAACCCGACUCCAUGAAGUUGGAUUCGCUAGUAAUCGCGCAUCAGCCAUGG